rnacentral:lncRNA from 1 species
GUUUUUCUAUAAAUGCCGGGAACGAGCGGGAGUCGUGACACUUCGUGAGAUUUGCUUAUCAAUUCACAAGAGGACGGUUGCAAGAAGGAUUUUUGGAAGCCCUUUUGCCUGUGCACAACAGGCUUGGAGCCAAAAAACCACUGGCCAUUCAAACAGACUUUGCUUGUUUAAUGCUACAGCAUUAAUUAAACCAGUGUUUCAACUUCCAGAGCCAUUGCACGUUUUGUAACAGGGCAGAUGCCAGAAGAAUCGAGCCUGAAUAAACUCCGUCCUUCACCUAGGAAGGUGGUGCUGUCUCCAGAAACAAAUGUGCCUUUUGAAGGAUGAACAGCUGCUGGCAUCAGACAGCUGCUGGCUCGGUUCUUAAAUAUGGUUAGUUCCCAGAUAAGGCACAGGUAUUCAUCGAAGAUACUUGAAAUACAAGAGCUCAAGACAAACCAGACAAUUGUUUCAUCCCUCCAGCUGGACACCACCAGAGCCUCUUGGACUCCCCUGGAGCGUCACCCAGGUUAUUGGGGCCUGGAGGUGGCAUUUUGUCAUUCUGAAGAUGACAAAACCAGUGCAGGGUGGCUGUCCUCAGCUAGCUCUCGCCUCAGCUACCAAACGAGUGAGUGAAGAUGAAGCCAGACCCACGCUGGCAGUGCACAGAGAAUACUAACAAGUCAUCAAAGAAGGUAGAUGCCCCAUCCCUGCAAACAUUCAAGAUGGAGAGACAGCUCUUUAAGAGAAGCCUUCAGUCCUGACAGGAAGUAGUUUUGGCAAGAUCAGGCAAUAAACAAUUAAAAAACCCAAUAAAACCCAAUUUAAAAUCCAAAAACCACUCUCCUCUCUUAUUUGGCACUUUUGAGACUGCAUGCGGACUCCCAUGUCCUGUUCUGGCAUCCCUAGGACAGGAAAGACACUGACAAAUGUGGUGCGGGCCCAGCCCAGCGCCUUCAAGAUGGUGAGGGGCCAGGGCACAUGGCACACCAGGGCAGGCGGAGGGAACUGCCACUGUGCAGCGGGGAGAAGAGAAGGCUCAGGGCUGGGUCUGACUGCUCAUCUUCCAGAACACUGCAAAGCAAUUG